rnacentral:rRNA from 1 species
AUUGAACGCUGGCGGCAGGCCUGAUACAUGCAAGUCGAGCGGGGGUUUCGGAACUAGCGGCGGACGGGUGAGUAAUGCGUAGGAAGCUACCCGAUAGAGGGGGAUACCAGUUGGUAACGACUGCUAACACCGCAUAAUGUCUACGGACCAAUGUGUGGGACCUUCGGGCCACAUGCUAUCGGAUGCGACUACGUGGGCUUAGCUAGUUGGUGAGGUAAUGGCUCACCAAGGCGACGAUCCCUAGCUGGUUUGAGAGGAUGAUCCGCCACACUGGGACUGGGACACAGUCCAGCUUCCUACGGGAGGCAGAAGUGGGGAAUAUUGGACAAUGGGCGCAAGCCUGAUGCAGCCAUGCCGCGUGUGUGAAGAAGGCCCUCGGGUUGUAAAGCACUUUCAGUAGGGAGGAAGCGUUGUGUGUUAAUAGUACACAGCGUUGACGUUACCUACAGAAGAAGCACCGGCUAACUCUGUGCCAGCCGCCGCGGUAAUAC